GCAAAGUUAAUUUUGUAACUGCGACUGCUUACAGGUCAGGGAUGGGCUCUCCUUUCAGUGGUGGCAUCAGACUUCCUGCACCCAGAAGACAGUGCUGAACAAUGGCGCUGAAGUUCAGGCUGGAGAAGUAGGUCCAGCAAGUAAAACGCCAACGAUAUCUCUUCAACGCUGGGGACGUGCCACCGGAUAUCCAAAUUCCACAAAUCUCCAGGCCGACCCCAAUCCUACACGGACAAAAACCCCCCCAAAAAACCAAAAAAGAUUUUUUCAAAAACAGUGUGGUACAAACAAACUGAGCGACUCUGCGGGGUGACACUGAAAACAGAAGUGCAGCAGCUUUUUAUGGCGGUACUAACCUAAAAGAAGACGCUUUUGGACUACAUGGAGGAAGUGAAUCGGUAAG